GAUGAACGCUGGCGGCGUGCCUAAUACAUGCAAGUCGAGCGAACAGACGAGGAGCUUGCUCCUCUGACGUUAGCGGCGGACGGGUGAGUAACACGUGGAUAACCUACCUAUAAGACUGGGAUAACUUCGGGACACCGGAGCUAAUACCGGAUAAUAUAUUGAACCGCAUGGUUCAAUAGUGAAAGACGGUUUUGCUGUCACUUAUAGAUGGAUCCGCGCCGCAUUAGCUAGUUGGUAAGGUAACGGCUUACCAAGGCAACGAUGCGCAGCCGACCUGAGAGGGUGAUAGGCCACACUGGAACUGAGACACGGUCCAGACUCCUACGGGAGGCAGCAGUAGGGAAUCUUCCGCAAUGGGCGAAAGCCUGACGGAGCAACGCCGCGUGAGUGAUGAAGGUCUUCGGAUAGUAAAACUCUGUUAUUAGGGAAGAACAAAUGUGUAAGUAACUAUGCACGUCUUGACGGUACCUAAUCAGAAAGCCACGGCUAACUACGUG
rnacentral:rRNA from 1 species